rnacentral:rRNA from 1 species
UACGUAGGGUGCAAGCGUUAAUCGGAAUUACUGGGCGUAAAGCGUGCGCAGGCGGUUCGUUGUGUCGGCGGGGAAAGUCCCGGGCUUAACCUGGGAAUGGCCGUCGAAACUGGCGAACUGGAGUGUGGCAGAGGGGGGUGGAAUUCCGCGUGUAGCAGUGAAAUGCGUAGAGAUGUGGAGGAACACCGAUGGCGAAGGCAGCCCCCUGGGCUAACACUGACGCUGAGGCUCGAAAGCGUGGGGAGCAAACAGG